rnacentral:lncRNA from 1 species
UUGGCUACCCCGAGUACAUCCCGUGCUACCUCCCUAACCAAGUUCGCCGUCUCUAACCACAUAGCGUCCGCUUCCUCAGAACUUCUCCAAGCUCCGCCCUCGGCUAAUCUCUUCUCCAACUCCUGUGCUUUCUCCUUAGUCAAAACACCCUAUCUAAUCCGGGGUUGUCCCCGAGCACCCCUCCUCUUCCUCUUCACCCAGAGACCGACACCCAUCACUAGGAGUCUAUGAAGAGUCGAAAGGGACUUUCUCGGAAUAACCUUGCAGUCCUUGAACAUACCCCUAUCGCUCCUUCUGAGGAAGAGGUAAUCAAUCUGAG